GUAAUAUAUUAUAAUGAUAUGAAUUUUUUUUAAUUUUUAGUUAAAAAGAUAGAAGGAAGAUGUGGGUUUUAUGCUAGGGGUUUACUUUGAAAGAUAGCUUCAAAUUCAUAUUUUUAGUUUUUUUUUUCACUUCUAUGAAGCACAAACAAACUCAGACACUGAUGACAGACAUGGACAUGUCGACACCAAUAAUAAUUUCACAAGAUGACAUAAAUCAAUGUAAUCAUAUGUGUUGGUGUUGUUUUGGUGUCAGACAUGAAACAUAUCCAUCAGGGACACGCCUAAUCCGAGGAGCAUUUGUGCUUCAUAGGUUGGAAUUAGAAAUAAUGGAAGGUUGUAAUGGGGUUCUGAUGAGGUACUUGAGCAAUUUUGAAUUGAUAGACUUAUAGUCUAUGUUACACUGAUAAUUUAGAUUGGACAUGCCGUUUGGUGUUGGACCUCAACACAACACUGAUGCAUGUGGUUACAUUCAAUCACUUGCAUCUUUUUUGAAUUAUUAGCGUUGUCUAUGACGUAUGUGUCAGUUCUAGUGUUGUGUCCAGUGACCCUGCAUCGUUGCUUAUAGCCUAUGAAGCAUGGAUACGGACACGGACACCGGACACGACACUGACACGCCGACACAGCUAAUAAUUUGAAAAAAUCACACAAUUCAGUGUAAUUACUAGUGUCGGUGUCGGUGUCGGACACGACACAUGUCGGUGCUUCAUAGCUUAUAGCUGAUCUUUGAGUGUUACUUUUGCUGGUUGAAUUCUUCGUUGUAAUUUUAUUGUUCUUAUCAAUCUCCAGUAGUGUCUGAUCUCAAAAACACUAGUGAAUUGUGAUACCAAGAGGCAGCUAUUUUGAAAUUUGUAUACAAUUUAUGUAAUUUAUACUAUGUGCAUAAAAAAUCAACUAGUUGUUGUUGCUGAUCGUGAGAAGGGUGAGAAAUGACAGGAAGAGUGAGACAGAGUGAGAGUGUAGAAGCCCCAACACUGUUUUGGUGUUUUUCAUUGCAAAAAUCCUAAAAUAUCUCAACCAAAACCCUAUAAUGUUUUAAAUCUUUAAGGCUUUUUUGGAAUUUUUUAUUUCAUUAUGAGUUUUGGCGCUAUCUAGCUUCAAAAACCCCGAUAUUGGUUGCUACACCAAACCAAACCGCUCUACUAUUGCGUGUCCUGUAGCGGUCAAUGGUCGCUCUGCUACACCACCAUAGUGUGCUAUUGACUGCACUGAUUGCACUAGUACUUCAAAAAAAAUGUUUUUCAGUAGUUAGCACUUAGCAUUGUUUUAGGCUAACAAGAGCUCACUAGUUUGUCAUCUGGAUCUUGUUUGAGCCAAAGCACUAUCAACCUAAUAUUCCAAAAUAAAAGAGGUCUCUUUCUGAUGUUAUUGAGCUGUUAUAUGAUUUUCUUAUUUAACCAUAUUUGUGAAGUUGUGAAUAUAUAAAAUGCAUGUGCCCAUUUUUGAGUUGGGGCUACCGCCAUAUUUGCUAUGAUGUCUUAUGGUUUUGGUAUAUUUCUUUUAGUUAAAACUGCACCAAAGAUCCUUUAACUUGAUUUAAAGUUUCAAACACAUCCUUUAUUUUUAUUUGUGUCAAACUAAUUUCAUAUCUUUAAAAACAUUUACGUCGGAACAACUUUAAUUCUUAGUCUACUUCUGUUACAAAUUUGUCAUGUAAUUUUGAUGUUAUCUUGAUGAAUUGAAGAUGUAAUUCACCUUUUGAAUGGUCAAGUAAGACUUUUGGUAAUAUGCAUAGAUGAAAAAUGGAGUUUGGUCCAACAUUGUUGACAGUUUUAAACAUAAAGGACUACUUUGACACGAAAAAACAGAUAAAUUACAUGUUUGAAACUUUAAAUUUAAGUAAGACCACUCGUGCAAUUUUGCCUUUAUCUUCAUAUGCUGUUUGAUAUGUAUGUUGAAUAGACUGAAUAAAAGAUGAGUUGUUUCUUUGAUAGAGCAGGAU
rnacentral:lncRNA from 1 species